GACGAACGCUGGCGGCGUGCUUAACACAUGCAAGUCGAACGGAAAGGCCCUGCUUUUGUUGCGUGCUCGAGUGGCGAACGGGUGAGUAACACGUGAGUAACCUGCCCUUGACUUUGGGAUAACUUCAGGAAACUGGGGCUAAUACCGGAUAUGAUCUCCUGCUGCGUGGGGGUGGUUGGUAAGUUUCGGCGGUUGGGGAUGGACUCGCGGCUUAUCGGCUUGUUUGUGUGGUAGUGGCUUACCAAGGCUUUGACGGGUAGCCGGCCUGAGAGGGUGACCGGCGACAUUGGGCCUGCGGUAGGGCCCAGAAUGCUACGGGAGGCAGAAGUGGGGAACAUUGCACAGUGGGCGGAAGCCUGAUGCAGAAACGCCGCGUGCGGAAUGACGGCUUUCGGGUUGUAAACAGAUUUGGACUGUAACGAAGAGUGAGUGACGGUAAUGGGUAAAGAAGCACCGGCUAACUACGUG
rnacentral:rRNA from 1 species